rnacentral:rRNA from 1 species
CCUACGGGCGGCAGCAGUAGGGAAUCUUUCACAAUGGGCGAAAGCCUGAUGGAGCAACGCCGCGUGCAGGAUGAAGGCCUUCGGGUUGUAAACUGCUUUUAUAAGCGAGAAAUAUGAUGGUAACUUAUGAAUAAGGAUCGGCUAACUACGUGCCAGCAGCCGCGGUCAUACGUAGGAUCCGAGCAUUAUCCGGAGUGACUGGGUGUAAAGAGUUGCGUAGGUUGCAUAAUAAGUAGCUAGUGAAAUCUGGUGGCUCAACCAUUCAGACUAUUAGCUAAACUGUUAAGCUCGAGACCGUUAGGAGUAACUGGAAUUUCUAGUGUAGGAGUGAAAUCCGUAGAUAUUAGAAGGAACACCAAUAGCGUAGGCAGGUUGCUGGGACGGUUCUGACACUAAGGCACGAAAGCGUAGGGAGCAAACGGGAUUAGAUACCCGAGUAGUC